AAGUCGUAACAAGGUUUCCGUAGGUGAACCUGCGGAAGGAUCAUUACAAAUGCAGUUGAUAUAUGUUGUCAUUGAUAAGCUCGCAAGGGUUUGUUUGCUGGCAAUGUGUAUUGAUUUCUUGUGAACUGGUUCACCUGUAUAGCAAUAUAUGGGUGGAUGUAUUUAAUUACUUGUGUAUUUAAUUAUUUCGAUACUUUUGUGGUGUUGAAAAUAAUCUAAAGACAACUUUCAGCAAUGGAUCUCUUGGCUCUU
rnacentral:misc_RNA from 1 species